rnacentral:rRNA from 1 species
CCGUCUUCAAGGCCAUAGAGUACAGUCUAGCGAUAGAGUAGAGUAACGUGAGUGAAAGAUAACGAGUUGAGAUCAUAUAAGCAGAUAGAGUCUAAAGAGAUGAUAUUGUACCUUUUGCAUAAUGGCGGGUUAACUAAUUUAAUAUAGCGAGAUUCAAUUCCAUUCCAUUCCAUUCCAUUUCAUAAGAUUUAGAACCGAUCAAAACAUAGAGUAAGGUACCUUUCAGACCAGGAAGAAGUAAGAGACCUGCAGAGGUGAGGGAGGUUGUAAGGGGUAGGAGGGUAUAGGUACGAGAGAGGGGAGAAAUAAGAGAAGGGGUGAUGAGAUAGAGUCCUACCCAUCAGGAAGAUAGUUAUAUUAAGGAGACCUAAAACGACGUGAUCUAAAGUUGAUCAGGAUCAGAAUUUAAAGAAUCAGUUCGUAAUAUGUAAGGAUGAACGAGCGAGGAUUUUGUGGAUUAAGGGUCUGAACGAGUGGCUGUUACAUAAGCCUUUGAUGAAUUGACUUUAGUAGUGAAAAGCUAAUCGAACGUCGUGAUAGUUGGUUGUCUGCGAAACAUGUUAGAGCAUGACCUAUCAUGAGAUAUAAACCUCAGGGGAGAGGUGAAGGAACAGGACGAGUACAGUAAAGAUUCACACGCAUAAUUCUUGGUCUCGUACUUCCGAUACACCAUGUGUAUCGUGUAAUGCGGGGGAUGUAGGUAAUAAGAGACCUACGAUCAAGGAGGUUAAUAGGGCAUAAAGAUGUGUACCUAUGUGAGUUAAGCUCAGAAAAGUAUUGUUAAAGAUGAUAGUUUCAGACGUACGAUGAUAAGGUCGUAUGUCGAGAGGGAAACAGCCCAAAGUGUAAGUUAAGGUUCCGAAUUACAUAACUCCACUAAUGGAGUGGGGUAGUUUAAGUAGUAAUAAGGUUGUAUGGUCUCCAAAGACAAUCAUGAGGUGUGACUGGAAACAUCCAUUCUUUAAAGAGUACGUAACAGUACAAUGAUCUUGUAAUUAGACUAAGCCUAAUAACCUGGCCGAGUUCGGGGGGGGGGGGGAAGAUUCCAGAUACAGAGAUAUGUAUGGGAGGAUGAUGUACGAGAGUAUAUCAGGGAGCUAAGAAGCAGAGAGACAUACUCCGAAGAUAUACGGGCUUAAAAUGUAAACCGAAACAACACUCAAACUAAUAUAUGUAAGCAGGAGAUCACUCGACCGGGUGCCCAAGGGGUAGGGUAGGGGUGAGGAGAAUGCGGUAAGAUAUAGGAUGAUAGUAGCAGACCGUUCCUGUAUGUUUUCAAGGCUAAUUCUCUUAAGGAGCCGGAUGAGGUGAAAGAGGGGGAUAAAGUAUGGGAGAGAAUUAAAUGUGUUUCAUAUUUAAUGUAUCAGGGAGUGAGAAUGACUCGAUGAGUAACGCAAAAAUGUAGAAACAUUCAUCUUAAGUCUAGGAUUUGCUAAGAUAUGUGAGCAUUCCGGUAUAGUACUCAAUCUAAGUUGACAAUGUUAGUGAAGAGAGGGAUAAAGAUAUAGGAGUUGUAAUGACAUAGUGAGGUAGUGUUAGGCGGUAUCUAAGCCAGAGCUAAGAAGCGAAAGGUGAUGAUAGAUACGUGUAGUUAAAAAAGUAACAAGGUCUUAAAGUCCACGUGAUCUCGAACCGGAAGGGGGGAGUGAAUGAGGAUAAGAGUGAUGGGAUUUGAAAAUAGCGAGGCGUAUAAAAAACAGGAAAAGAGUAGCAAGAGAAGAGGAUAGUAUCUUCCUAUUCCCUGUCGACGAUGGUAGGGAUUAAUUCGAAAUGAGGUGGAGGUGAAAGAGUAAGGCGGAUCAAGCUAGAUAGACCGUAUCAUGCAACACAGAUAGACUGAUAUAAAAGUAUCAAGAUGAUAGCUUAAUACAUGUUAAGGAACUCGGCAAACUAGCUCUGUAACUUUGAGGAUAAAGAGUAGUCAAUAUAAACUUUAUAUAAGGAGCUUGUUCUCUCGUUAUGCAAGUAUAAUGGAUAUAUGUACGUAAUGCGGAGGGGGGUGGUAUAAAGAUAUAUAAACUCACAGACAAUAGUAGGGUGCGACUGUUUAACACAAACACAGAACUCUGCUACGGCGAAAGCCUAGGUAUAGGGUUUGACUCUUGCUCAGUGUCUAAUUUAGAAUAAAAGAGAUAAUGUGUUUAACCACUAGUAGCUUUUAAUAAAUAAUAAGAUCAACAGCAGUCUUAACUAUAAGGAUUCAAAGGUAGGAAUCGCUGCCCUAGGUAUAAAAGAAGAUAUAUCUCAUAAAAUGAGAUGAUAAAAUAGUUUGAACCAUUAAAUUUGAGGUCAGACUAGGCAAGGUAGAUCAGUAAAAUAUCUAGAAUCUCACUAUAUGCUGGGAACUCCUAAAGCUAUAAGUACCAGCAAGCUAAACUAAUACUAUAGAAAUAAGAAAUGGGGCAGGUGACAAAAUUAUAGAUGAACAAUGGACAAUCAGCAGGAAACCAAAUGUAUAGGCAGAGUAGGAUCCUCAGAGACUACACGUGAGAGGUAGGUC